rnacentral:snRNA from 1 species
AUGCUUGCUUCAGCAGCACAUAUACUAAAAUUGUAAGGAUACUAAGAAGAUUAACAUGGCCUAGCCACAAGGUUGAGACACAAAUUCAAAAAGUGUUCUAUAUUAAA